rnacentral:rRNA from 1 species
UACGUAGGGCGCAAGCGUUAUCCGGAAUUAUUGGGCGUAAAGAGCUCGUAGGCGGUUUGUCGCGUCUGCUGUGAAAAGACCGGGGCUCAACUCCGGUUCUGCAGUGGGUACGGGCAGACUAGAGUGAUGUAGGGGAGACUGGAAUUCCUGGUGUAGCGGUGAAAUGCGCAGGUAUCAGGAGGAACACCGAUGGCGAAGGCAGGUCUCUGGGCAUUAACUGACGCUGAGGAGCGAAAGCAUGGGGAGCGAACAGG